GCUUGAUUCUCGUGAUACUGCUGCAGGCCAUGCGAUUGUCGUGUUCUUCUUCACGAGAACUGCCAGGAGAGCAUGAAAGGACGAAAACUGACCUCGGGAACGAACUUCUCAUGCUACUGCUUCAUUGAGUGCAUCAUUGCUGAUAUAAAUGGGAAGCAUAGAAGCACCUUUGUCCAAAGGAGAAUCAUUCAACCCUGUCAAGGACCGGGCCAUCUGACCGGAAGUAUAUAACAGCGAUUCUGUAUUGCCAUCAUCUGGAGCUUCUCUUCUCAGAAAUCUGGUCUGAAGUACGUCUCAGCAUGCAAAUGAAAGAAAAGAAAGCUGUUAUCUCUGCUCUGUAUGCUAUUGUGAAAUUGUCUGAAGCAGUGAAUGCUGCUGAGCCCCCACAAUUCAUUCUUUGCCUUGACUUGCAAAACAGUCAAUGAGCUCUGAUGCUGGAAGCUCGAUCUCUGGAGCCUAGGCAAAGUUUCAAUGACUGAAACUCCUGAUUAGUCUUCUUGUUGAUAUUCAGUUGGUUUGGUCUUGCCUGAGAGCAUGGAAUUGCAGAUUUUGAACUCAGAUUGAAGAUAGAGUUUCUCCAAUAAUGACCUUAGUCCAGGCAAGGUUCCUUCUCUAAUUACAAUGCUUACUUCCUAUUGUUAAGUAACUCUGCAGUCUAGUAACAGAUCUUUGAGAGAAAGACGUCUGAGUCAAGGACCUCUUUUUAUUAAAGUGAUCAAUCCCGACAAUAAACUCCGGUUUGAAAAGAGAAGCUUCAGGCUUCAGUGCGCCAAGUCAGGAAGCUGAGUCAAGUCUGCUGUAACCUGGUGCUGUUGUGGCCGGGGAUGUAAAGCUUCCUCUUGAUUGUCAUUCUCGGAACAUACUUCAGGCCACUUCUCAAAGGGGAGAGGCCGCCGCACGAGUCUGCAAUGCAGAGAUGAGUUGAGAUAUUGCUGCAAUACGCUAUCAAUCUGCAGUCCUGGUCUAGUUGAUGGUGGCGCAAAUGAUGCACAUGUACUAUUACAUACUCAGGAAGGCCAAUCAAUCUGUUGCAGUGACCCCAUCUUUGUUGGCCAAGUUCCGCAACGCCUUGUCCAGCCAAAAGUGUUCAAUCCUGUUAGCAACUACCCUUCCCACUGACCUGCACCCUUGUUUAUUUGUCCGAGAGAUGUAUGGAUAUCGAUGACAUUGCGUUCAGUGGUAA